CUCCCCUGCACAUGAUGAUAAAUGAUGUUGGUAGGGACAUCUGAGAAUAUGAUGAAUACCAACAUCUCUGAGCCAGGGGU
rnacentral:snoRNA from 11 species